AAUAAAAUUUAAUUCAUUAAAGAAAAAGUUUUAUUUUUGUUCGGUUUUCAGUGAAAAAAAAAAAUACAUAUUAAAAAAAAAACAUUUUCAAAAACUUGUGUGAACAUUUUAUCAACUUUAGAAGAUUUUGGUUUAACAGUUUCAUCCAAUCCCUAAAAUCAACAAUAACCAAUAAAGGCAUCUUCAAGUCAUGAACGUCUUCAAUCAAGUUCAAAGAUAAAUACCGACUCCAUGUGUUUAACAAUUGUUUGAUUUGAUGGCAUCAAGCUUUUUUCAAUCACCAUCAUCCAAAAAGUCUACAUGAAAAUGUUUGUGGCAGCAUUUCAUAUUCAAGACGUGAAAUCCUGCGAGAUCCAAAAUAAAGAACAAAACGAAUAUGUCGAAUGAUACAUACAUACAUACAU